rnacentral:rRNA from 1 species
UAGGGAAUCUUCCACAAUGGACGAAAGUCUGAUGGAGCAACGCCGCGUGAGUGAAGAAGGGUUUCGGCUCGUAAAACUCUGUUGUUAAAGAAGAACAUAUCUGAGAGUAACUGUUCAGGUAUUGACGGUAUUUAACCAGAAAGCCACGGCUAACUACGUGCCAGCAGCCGCGGUAAUACGUAGGUGGCAAGCGUUGUCCGGAUUUAUUGGGCGUAAAGCGAGCGCAGGCGGUUUUUUAAGUCUGAUGUGAAAGCCUUCGGCUCAACCGAAGAAGUGCAUCGGAAACUGGGAAACUUGAGUGCAGAAGAGGACAGUGGAACUCCAUGUGUAGCGGUGAAAUGCGUAGAUAUAUGGAAGAACACCAGUGGCGAAGGCGGCUAUCUGGUCUGUAACUGACGCUGAGGCUCGAAAGUAUGGGUAGCAAACAGG